rnacentral:rRNA from 1 species
GAUGAACGCUGGCGGCGUGCCUAAUACAUGCAAGUCGAGCGAACAGACGAGGAGCUUGCUCCUCUGACGUUAGCGGCGGACGGGUGAGUAACACGUGGAUAACCUACCUAUAAGACUGGGAUAACUUCGGGAAACCGGAGCUAAUACCGGAUAAUAUAUUGAACCGCAUGGUUCAAUAGUGAAAGACGGUUUUGCUGUCACUUAUAGAUGGAUCCGCGCCGCAUUAGCUAGUUGGUAAGGUAACGGCUUACCAAGGCAACGAUGCGUAGCCGACCUGAGAGGGUGAUCGGCCACACUGGAACUGAGACACGGUCCAGACUCCUACGGGAGGCAGCAGUAGGGAAUCUUCCGCAAUGGGCGAAAGCCUGACGGAGCAACGCCGCGUGAGUGAUGGAGGUCUUCGGAUCGUAAAACUCUGUUAUUAGGGAAGAACAAAUGUGUAAGUAACUGUGCACGUCUUGACGGUACCUAAUCAGAAAGCCACGGCUAACUACGUG